CUGGCGGCACGCCUAAUACAUGCAAGUCGAACGGAGUAGCAAUACUUAGUGGCAGACGGGUGAGUAACAUGUGGGUAUCUUCCCUUUGGUGAGGAAUAACACGAGGAAACUUGUGCUAAUACCUCAUAAGUCUUUACGGAGAAAGCUUUAUGCGCCAAUGGAUGAGCCUGCACUUGAUUAGUUUGUUGGUAGGGUAAUGGCCUACCAAGACUGUGAUCAAUAGCUGAUUUGAGAGGAUGAUCAGCCACAUUGGGACUGAGACACGGCCCAAACUCCUACGGGAGGCAGCAGUAGGGAAUCUUGCACAAUGGAGGAAACUCUGAUGCAGCGAUGCCGCGUGAGUGAAGAAGGCCCUUGGGUUGUAAAGCUCUUUCGUCGGGGAAGAAAAUGACUGUACCCGAAUAAGAAGGUCCGGCUAACUUCGUGCCAGCAGCCGCGGUAAUACGAAGGGACCUAGCGUAGUUCGGAAUUACUGGGCUUAAAGAGUUCGUAGGUGGUUAAAAAAGUUGGUGGUGAAAUCCCAGAGCUUAACUCUGGAACUGCCAUCAAAACUUUUUAGCUAGAGUAUGAUAGAGGAAAGCAGAAUUUCUAGUGUAGAGGUGAAAUUCGUAGAUAUUAGAAAGAAUACCAAUUGCGAAGGCAGCUUUCUGGAUCAUUACUGACACUGAGGAACGAAAGCAUGGGUAGCGAAGAGGAUUAGAUACCCUCGUAGUCCAUGCCGUAAACGAUGUGUGUUAGAUGUUGGAAAUUUAUUUUCAGUAUCACAGCGAAAGCAAUAAACACACCGCCUGGGGAGUACGACC
rnacentral:rRNA from 1 species